rnacentral:rRNA from 1 species
CAGCAGCCGCGGGAACACAGAGGGUGCGAGCGUUAAUCGGAUUUACUGGGCGUAAAGCGUGCGUAGGCGGCUUCUUAAGUCGGAUGUGAAAUCCCUGAGCUUAACUUAGGAAUUGCAUUCGAUACUGGGAAGCUAGAGUAUGGGAGAGGAUGGUAGAAUUCCAGGUGUAGCGGUGAAAUGCGUAGAGAUCUGGAGGAAUACCGAUGGCGAAGGCAGCCAUCUGGCCUAAUACUGACGCUGAGGUACGAAAGCAUGGGGAGCAAACAGGAUUAGAUACCCGCGUAGUCCCUGUCUCUUAUAC